CCUUGUGCACUCAUUGGUGGGACAGCACCUUGGUGAGGACCUCUGAUUGGCUAUCGGCUGCUUUUGCCACGAACCAAUCGGUGCUUCUGUAUCCAAGUCAACUUGGAAUGUUGAGCUAUUUAAAUCCCGAGAAGAUGGAUCUAAAUGAUUGACUUUUACAUUGAAUAUCGUUUGAUUGAAAAGUUCAUCGCUGUAUAUGUUUAAGAUAUUGGGUGACGUCAAGCCCAGUGUUUCUGUACCUUCUGAUGUUUGUCCAAAGGGGCUGAAUUGAGGGACAUCCAGCGACAGAUUGACUCUCUGUGAGCCCAGAAGUUCAGAGGCUCCACAGGGACGUGCUCCUCCUGAGCUUUAACACCGCAGUGCGCUACAUGAUCAGGGAGGCAUUCCGAAGCUGGAAACCUCUCACCCUAUCAGACUGUGAGUGAAAACAUGAGCCACGCCCUCCCUCUCUUUGAGUGACAGCAUGAUAGGAGGAGCCAGUUUCCUUUCUGUUCCUGAGCUGCUAGAACCGGCCAGUUUUCAGGUGAGGAAUCACCAGGCCUGUCCAGCAUAUAGCAAACAGGAUGCACCUGUGACUGAACCCAGAGGAGAUCAAAGAGCACGGUGGGAGCAUGGCGCUGGGCCUGAUUCUCUCUGCAGGCUGUCAUUAGAAAGCCAAUAAACUUCACCACAGCUAGUCUCUUAUAUUUAGGAUAUUGAUUUUCAUCUCAACAAGAACAACAACAAAAUAGUCCUCUCUGAAAUGCAUGGGAUUCACAUGACUUCACAUGUCAUUAAGAACUGUGGAAACGUCGAUUGAGGAGCAUUUCAUCCAGCGGUGUUGAGCGUGAGAUUGAUGGACAGGUGAUGUUCUCCAGCGCUCAUCUCCAGGAGUGUUUGACUGAACUGGCUUUUUCUGUAAUGAAUCAUGAGCGUAGUAUCUUCAAGCGAUAUUCCCAGUUUUAUGAGCCAAUUCUUCAACAGCAGGAACAACUUCUUUACAAGAGAGAGCAGGUGGCGGAUGUGUGUCGUGGCUCUGAAGAGAAGCUUAGGUCAACAUAUAUAGGCAUAUAUAUAAAAAAACUAAUAAUAAAAACGUCAAAAACACAAUAAAAUUACUUAAACAUUGUGAAAAGAAUAUAAAAAAUAAAAUUAAAUCUGUAUCAAUGGUAUUAAAUGUAAAAGUGAAAAGAAUGUUGACUCUUUUUCGGCCUCGCUCUUUUACGUUUUGUCUUUGUGCAUUCAUCAACACUAUAUCCCUCGGUAAACAUCACAUUUUCUGCUGUUGAAAUUUCAUUUUGAAGGUCCUCUUGUGUGCAAGUCUUUGAGCAAGUCUCAGAUGUCCAGAAUCUGUGCCAGCUGCUCAGAGCUGCUCUUGUCCACAGACACAUUUGCGCCGUAAACUCGAGCACAGCCGAGAAGGUUUUCGCCGCGCGGCCAUGCCAUCCAGCUUAUACACUGACUGGCUUACCUGAUCUUCAGCGUUGAACAUUAAUGAGAAAUAUUCCCUGCUCACUGCUAAAAGAGCCUUGUGUGCUUUGAAGUGCACGUCUUCUACGUUGAGGGUUAUGUCACAGAGCAGUUCCCUUCUUCUGAGCUUGUCAAACUCAUGGAAGAUUGUGUCCUUGUGCGUUUUUGAAUGCAGGACGAGAACAGAAGACAGGGCAGACAUUAUGCUGUUACAGUGAGCUUGAGAGGAAAAAGUUGAAACUGUCUUUAAGUUGAUAAAUCUGUUUACUAUAUGCAAAUCAAACUAUGCACACUCUUGUGAAAGUUUGCUUAAUUGUAUUGAACAUGGACUU